rnacentral:rRNA from 1 species
AUUGAACGCUGGCGGCAUGCUUUACACAUGCAAGUCGAACGGUAACAGGCCUUCGGGCGCCGACGAGUGGCGAACGGGUGAGUAAUGCAUCGGAACGUGCCCAGUCGUGGGGGAUAACGCAGCGAAAGCUGUGCUAAUACCGCAUACGAUCUGCGGAUGAAAGCGGGGGACCUUCGGGCCUCGCGCGAUUGGAGCGGCCGAUGUCCGAUUAGGUAGUUGGUGGGGUAAAGGCUCACCAAGCCAACGAUCUGUAGCUGGGCUGAGAGGACGACCAGCCACACUGGGACUGAGAGACGGCCCAGACUCCUACGGGAGGCAGCAGUGGGGAAUUGUGGACAAUGGGCGCAAGCCUGAUCCAGCAAUGCCGCGUGCAGGAAGAAGGCCUUCGGGUUGUAAACUGCUUUUGUACGGAACGAAAAGCCCUGGGUUAAUACCCUGGGGUCAUGACGGUACCGUAAGAAUAAGCACCGGCUAACUACGUGCCAGCCGCCGCGGAAAGAC